rnacentral:rRNA from 1 species
AUGUAAAUGCCUACAACAUAUAUUUAAUGCAUCGUACCCCAUUAGAACUUUGCAGUUAAGCAAGCUUGGGCUAGAGUAGCACUAUGAUGGGUGACUGCCCGGGAAGUCCUAGUAUUUUACAUG